AUUGAACGCUGGCGGCAUGCCUUACACAUGCAAGUCGAACGGCAGCACGGGGGCAACCCUGGUGGCGAGUGGCGAACGGGUGAGUAAUACAUCGGAACGUACCCGGAAGUGGGGGAUAACGUAGUGAAAGUUACGCUAAUACCGCAUAUUCUGUGAGCAGGAAAGAGGGGGAUCGCAAGACCUCUCGCUUUCGGAGCGGCCGAUGUCGGAUUAGCUAGUUGGUGGGGUAAAAGCCUACCAAGGCGACGAUCCGUAGCUGGUCUUAGAGGAUGAUCAGCCACACUGGGACUGAGACACGGCCCAGACUCCUACGGGAGGCAGCAGUGGGGAAUUUUGGACAAUGGGGGCAACCCUGAUCCAGCCAUGCCGCGUGAGUGAAGAAGGCCUUCGGGUUGUAAAGCUCUUUCGGACAGAAAGAAAUCGCACAGGAUAAUACCUUGUGUGGAUGACGGUACUGUCAUAAGAAGCACCGGCUAACUACGUGCCAGCAGCCGCCGCCGUAA
rnacentral:rRNA from 1 species